ACGGAGGGGGCAAGCGUUAUUCGGAUUUACUGGGCGUAAAGCGCACGUAGGUGGCAUGAUAAGUCAAAGGUGAAAGCCCUCGGCUCAACCGAGGAACUGCCUUUGAAACUGUUUUGCUUGAGUCCGGGAGGGGGGAGCGGAAUUCCUAGUGUAGCGGUGAAAUGCGUAGAUACUAGGAGGAACACCGGUGGCGAAGGCGGCUCCCUGGACCGGUACUGACACUGAGGUGCGAAAGCGUGGGUAGCAAACAGG
rnacentral:rRNA from 1 species